rnacentral:rRNA from 1 species
AUGGCGUCCUCCUCAAGCUCCGCAUCAACCUUCUCCCUCAACUCCCAGGUCUCGAAGAAACUUACCAGAACAAACUUCAUCCUAUGGCGCGCCCAAGUGCUAUUGCAGAUUCGAGCUGCGGGCAUGUUUGGCUACCUAGACAACUCCUCUACCGAACCUCCCAAAACAAUCACCACCAAAGACUCCACAGGCAAGGAUCAGAUCAUCGUCAACCCCGAGUACACGGUCUGGGCAAGGGAGGACCAGCAAGUGCUCGCCUACCUGCUCAACAAUCUCUCCAAAGAGGUGUUGAUUCAGGUUGCUUCG